UCCGUGAAACAGAACCGGCUCGGAAGCCCCCUGGCAGCGCGCCAUCCGCCCUUUCUCAAGGGCAGGUGGUUUUGGCUAAAUAUUCCGGAUUCCCGGAGCAUUCCGCGCUCGCUCAGACCUCGUUUCCCUCUCGCUCGGUUUGUUUGCACAAGGAGCCUCAGGCAGAAACCGAGAUAAGGAAGGCAAACACCGCUCCUCGCCCCGGCGCUGGACUUUGGAAGGAGGCAGGGGGAGCAGAGAGUCUAUUUUAAUGACAGCACGUUGAGACUGGAUUCAGAUGUUAUUUUCAAAAGGCAAACCGGUAGCUGUAGUUAAUAAUUAACGUGCCUCUGCAUACAGCAUUCUUGAAGCGACCAUAGUACUCUAAACGCUCUAAACAGCAAAAACAAGUGAGGAAAAGGACCUAAUUCAGCAACUCAGUGUUUUCUGUCAGCUCUUGAGAGGCUCUGCCAUCAGUAGUACAACAACAGCCUGAAUCAAGGCAUUAAGGACUGGAAGCGUGGUCUGACACCCAGUAGAACAGCAGAGAACACAAGUGGCUGAUAUAACAACCUACCUCUGGAAGCAAACAAUGCUUACAGAACUACUCACUGUAAUACUGAUCACUUGGCAUAAUUACCAGGACAGUAUUUUUUUUUUUAAAUGAGCAAACUGGAGGGAGCAGCAGCAGCACUGUAUGGCUCACGCUAAGCACCUGUUGUAUCCUGAUCCAAAUUUUGUCUGUCAUUCCUUAACCUGAACUCCAGAAAAGGUUUGGAAUCAACAACUGAAAAAAAUGUAUUUGUUCAUAGCUCUGUUUAUUCUGCCCCCUGGUAAACAGGCUGCAGCACCCAUCUCCUUUGGAAGAGGUCACAAAUCUUGUCUUUGUUUUAUGAUGGCCAACAGUACAGUUUACAUGACUCCAAAUAACUUUUUCUUAUCUUUGCAUGGGAGUUACAACGUCUCAGUAGCAACAGGGACUGGAACAUCUGCUUGAUAAGUUAAAAUUGUAAAAUAAUAGUGUUAAACUAAUGUAAAUCGUAGUGUGCAGUCUGAAAUUAAAAUGCCAUACCCAAAGGCGCCAUGGCAUGACA